GCAGAAAUGGUGGAAUGGUAGACACGAGGGACUUAAAAUCCCUUGCCCGAUGAGGGCGUGUGGGUUCGAGUCCCACUUUCUGUA
rnacentral:tRNA from 3 species